UACGUAGGGUGCAAGCGUUAAUCGGAAUUACUGGGCGUAAAGCGUGCGCAGGCGGUGAUGUAAGACAGUUGUGAAAUCCCCGGGCUCAACCUGGGAACUGCAUCUGUGACUGCAUCGCUGGAGUGCGGCAGAGGGGGAUGGAAUUCCGCGUGUAGCAGUGAAAUGCGUAGAUAUGCGGAGGAACACCGAUGGCGAAGGCAAUCCCCCUGGGCCUGCACUGACGCUCAU
rnacentral:rRNA from 1 species